rnacentral:rRNA from 1 species
GACAGAGGGUGCAAACGUUGUUCGGAAUUACUGGGCGUAAAGCGCGUGUAGGCUGCUUGGAAAGUCGGAUGUGAAAGCCCCGGGCUCAACCUGGGAAGUGCAUUCGAAACUUCCGAGCUGGAGUCCUGGAGAGGAAGGCGGAAUUCUCGGUGUAGAGGUGAAAUUCGUAGAUAUCGAGAGGAACACCGGUGGCGAAGGCGGCCUUCUGGACAGUGACUGACGCUGAGACGCGAAAGCGUGGGGAGCAAACAGG